rnacentral:snRNA from 1 species
GUGCUCACUUCAGCAGCACAUACACUAAAUUUGGAAUAUACAGAGAAGAUCAGCAUGGCCCCUGUGCAAGAAUGGCUUGCACAUUUGUGAAGUGUACUAUAUUAUA